GGAAGCUUGCUCCCGGAUGUUAGCGGCGGACGGGUGAGUAAACACGUGGGUAACCUGCCUGUAAGACUGGGAUAACUCCGGGAAACCGGAGCUAAUACCGGAUAGUUCCUUGAACCGCAUGGUUCAAGGAUGAAAGACGGUUUCGGCUGUCACUUACAGAUGGACCCGCGGCGCAUUAGCUAGUUGGUGGGGUAAUGGCUCACCAAGGCGACGAUGCGUAGCCGACCUGAGAGGGUGAUCGGCCACACUGGGACUGAGACACGGCCCAGACUCCUACGGGAGGCAGCAGUAGGGAAUCUUCCGCAAUGGACGAAAGUCUGACGGAGCAACGCCGCGUGAGUGAUGAAGGUUUUCGGAUCGUAAAGCUCUGUUGUUAGGGAAGAACAAGUGCGAGAGUAACUGCUCGCACCUUGACGGUACCUAACCAGAAAGCCACGGCUAACUACGUGCCAGCAGCCGCGGUAAUACGUAGGUGGCAAGCGUUGUCCGGAAUUAUUGGGCGUAAAGGGCUCGCAGGCGGUUUCUUAAGUCUGAUGUGAAAGCCCCCGGCUCAACCGGGGAGGGUCAUUGGAAACUGGGAAACUUGAGUGCAGAAGAGGAGAGUGGAAUUCCACGUGUAGCGGUGAAAUGCGUAGAGAUGUGGAGGAACACCAGUGGCGAAGGCGACUCUCUGGUCUGUAACUGACGCUGAGGAGCGAAAGCGUGGGGAGCGAACAGGAUUAGAUACCCUGGUAGUCCACGCCGUAAACGAUGAGUGCUAAGUGUUAGGGGGUUUCCGCCCCUUAGUGCUGCAGCUAACGCAUUAAGCACUCCGCCUGGGGAGUACGGUCGCAAGACUGAAACUCAAAGGAAUUGACGGGGGCCCGCACAAGCGGUGGAGCAUGUGGUUUAAUUCGAAGCAACGCGAAGAACCUUACCAGGUCUUGACAUCCUCUGACAACCCUAGAGAUAGGGCUUUCCCUUCGGGGACAGAGUGACAGGUGGUGCAUGGUUGUCGUCAGCUCGUGUCGUGAGAUGUUGGGUUAAGUCCCGCAACGAGCGCAACCCUUGAUCUUAGUUGCCAGCAUUUAGUUGGGCACUCUAAGGUGACUGCCGGUGACAAACCGGAGGAAGGUGGGGAUGACGUCAAAUCAUCAUGCCCCUUAUGACCUGGGCUACACACGUGCUACAAUGGACAGAACAAAGGGCUGCGAGACCGCAAGGUUUAGCCAAUCCCAUAAAUCUGUUCUCAGUUCGGAUCGCAGUCUGCAACUCGACUGCGUGAAGCUGGAAUCGCUAGUAAUCGCGGAUCAGCAU
rnacentral:rRNA from 1 species